rnacentral:rRNA from 1 species
UACGUAGGGGGCAAGCGUUGUCCGGAUUUAUUGGGCGUAAAGAGCUCGUAGGCGGUUUGUUGCGUCGGCUGUGAAAUCCCGAGGCUCAACCUCGGGUCUGCAGUCGAUACGAGCAAACUAGAGUGUUGCAGGGGGAGACUGGAAUUCCUGGUGUAGCGGUGAAAUGCGCAGAUAUCAGGAGGAAACACCAAUUGCGAAGGCAGCUCGCUGGGACGUUACUGACGCUGGAGACGCGAAAGCGUGGGGAGCAAACAGG